AGUAAUGUCUGGGAAACUGCCUGAUGGAGGGGGGUAACUACUGGAAACGGUAGCUAAUACCGCAUAACGUCGCAAGACCAAAGUGGGGGACCUUCGGGCCUCAUGCCAUCAGAUGUGCCCAGAUGGGAUUAGCUAGUAGGUGGGGUAACGGCUCACCUAGGCGACGAUCCCUAGCUGGUCUGAGAGGAUGACCAGCCGCACUGGAACUGAGACACGGUCCAG
rnacentral:rRNA from 1 species